rnacentral:rRNA from 1 species
AGCCUGAACGCUGGCGGCGUGGCUAAGACAUGCAAGUCGUACGGUGUAGCAAUACACAGUGGCGAACGGGAGAGUAAUGAAUCGCUAAUGUGCCCCGGACUCUGAGAUAGCCAUCCGAAAGGGUGGGUAAUAUCAGAUGACAUAUCUCUGUCGCAUGAUAGAGAUCUCAAAGGUCCGCCGGUCUGGGAGCAGGCGAUUUCGUAUCAGCUAGUUGGUGAGGUAACGGCUCACCAAGGCGACGACGCGUAGCCGGACUGAGAGGUUGGCCGGCCUCAUUGGGACUGAGACACUGCCCAGACUCCUACGGGGGGCUGCAGUAACGAAUCUUCCGCAAUGCACGAAAGUGUGACGGAGCGACGCCGCGUGUGGGACGAAGUCCUUCGGGAUGUAAACCACUGUCAGGGGUUACCAAGUUCUGAGGAGCCCCAGAGGAAGGGACGGCUAACGUCUGUGCCAGCAGCCGC